rnacentral:rRNA from 1 species
CCUACGGGCGGCAGCAGUGGGGAAUAUUGGGCAAUGGGCGCAAGCCUGACCCAGCAACGCCGCGUGAAGGAAGAAGGCUUUCGGGUUGUAAACUUCUUUUAUGAGGGACGAAGACAUGACGGUACCUCAUGAAUAAGCCACGGCUAACUACGUGCCAGCAGCCGCGGUAAUACGUAGGUGGCAAGCGUUAUCCGGAUUUACUGGGUGUAAAGGGCGUGUAGGCGGGACUGCAAGUCAGAUGUGAAAUUCCAGGGCUCAACCCUGGACCUGCAUUUGAAACUGUGGUUCUUGAGUGAUGGAGAGGCAGGCGGAAUUCCCUGUGUAGCGGUGAAAUGCGUAGAUAUAGGGAGGAACACCAGUGGCGAAGGCGGCCUGCUGGACAUUAACUGACGCUGAGGCGCGAAAGCGUGGGGAGCAAACAGGAUUAGAUACCCUGGUAGUCG